rnacentral:tRNA from 1 species
GGGGUAUUCAUCUAGUCCGGCCCAGGAUUCCACGCUUCCAACGUGGUCACGGGGGUUCAAAUCCCUCACACCUCA